GUUGGUCUCACUAUGUUGUGCAGGCUGGCCUCAAACUCCUGGGCUCAAGGGAUCUUCUCAUCUCAUCCUUCCAAAGGGCUGCGAUUACAAGUAAAUGUUGUCUGUCCUGACUGUCUCAGAGUUCUUUGGAAGAUAAAAUGAUAAAACAGCUGUUUUAGGCACAUCUUGUAUCCCUCUUGCCUCAACUCUGGAAUUGGUUACCACUACUUCUGAACUGGGUGGCAGCUACAGACAGAGGUGGUAAGGGAGUAAUUGCUUAGGAUUGGACUGAGCUGAAGAAUGUUUAGCCUGGCGGUACUAGUGCAACUGGAAGAACAGAUGAACCAUAGUUUGCAACACAAAGCCAAGUCAACCAACAGAAGAAAUAUAUAUUUUAAGAAGAUUUUAUAUUUUCAACUGAAAACGUUCAUGUCAGUUGUGAAUGUAUUUGUAAUUGGCAGCCCCAAAUCAUCUCCCUUUUUAUUUUUGAGAAAGUGUAGUGUGCUUUAGUAUUUGGAACAUUCAUUUAAACCUAUUAAAUUAUAUUUUAAAAUGCACUGUUCCCAUUUCAAUCAAAAUUGGUUUUAUACUAUAUAUUGUAACACUAAAGUGCUUCUGGUAAUUUGCUUGUAAAACCAAAACUCUUUUAAAUU
rnacentral:lncRNA from 10 species